rnacentral:rRNA from 1 species
UACGAAGGUGGCAAGCGUUGUUCGGAUUUACUGGGCGUACAGGGAGCGUAGGCGGUUGGAUAAGCCCUCCGUGAAAUCUCCAGGCUUAACCUGGAAAGUGCAGAGGGGACUGUUCAGCUAGAGGAUGGGAGAGGAGCGCGGAAUUCCCGGUGUAGCGGUGAAAUGCGCAGAUAUCAGGAGGAACACCAAUGGCGAAGGCAGCUCGCUGGAACGGUACUGACGCUGAGGCGCGAAAGCGUGGGGAGCGAACAGG